AAAAUGUUGCUCUCUGAUGUGGUGUUUGGUCAACCCUAUACUCUUGACUAUUGCCUACGCUUCUAAUUGAAUCCCAAUACACUUAGUUUUUGCUAUUAUGCUUAGUUGACUGGCUUAAUCUCUGAAGUCUCUCUGUUUUAUUUGAUCUUAAGAUUGACAAGUCUUUCUACCAUGACAUCUUUAGACUUGGGAAUCUUUGUGUUAUACUCAGUAAGAUUAGGAUUCUUAUUAACUAUUAUAAACCAUGCCUACUUAUUUGUUUACAAUGUGUAAUUGCAAUUCCCUGACUAUAACUCUAUAAGACCUUCAUGACUUAGAUUCCUAGUUUUUAAAAUUCAUUUUAGGCUAAUUCUAGUUCAUGUUUUAAUCUAAACUUGCGGUUCUAGAAAAUUAAGCACGUAUGUGUCCUUAUCCUGUUAACCUAAAUGGCAUACCUCCCCAACUCUUCUAGUGUUCUACAUGUUAUACUCUUUCACUUGUUUUGAACCUAUGCUAUUAGUUUUUUUCAUGUCAAACUCACCAUGUUGAAACUGAGUUCUAAUGCUUCUCCUUGUUUCAUGUUCAAGCCCUUGUUCGACCAAUCCUGUCACUCCAGCUUCUAAAAUGCAAGUGUUAAUAUAGUUUAUAUGAAUCAUGUCUUUAUGAGGUAAUUCUUUAGAGCUGUUUAAUUAACAUCCAUGUGUGGCUCGUUAACUUAUAUGGUUAACUGGUUAAUCUGUAAUUGUUGGGCUUGGUAUGAGUUCAUGUGUGGCCAUGGGCUAUGCAAAUGGACACACUCUCUUGCUUGAGAUGCAUUUGGAUCUGGAUUUUUCUAUUCGUGUAAAAAUGAGCUUGUUGAAGGACCAUGCAGUAAGGAGUUAUUUUCAUUUGGGCCUGCUCUUAGGCCUGCAGUGUUUCAGUAUGUAAUAUCAAUUUUUAUAUUUAUUAUUUUGGGCAUGUAAUAAUUUGUAAACAAAACAGUUGGGGAAUUAAUUGGAAUGAGGAACAAGUAUCCUUUAAUUUUUGUAUGAAAGGGUAGAGAGCAUGCCUAUAGGGUCUACCUGCUUUGUUUACUACUUUGAUUCGACAUGCUUUAUUUUUAUACAUGAAUAGAUAUCAUGGCUAUGAACUUAAACACUUCACCUGCUUAACUUGUCUAAUACCCGUACAUCAUCAGAAGCAUGUUUGUAAGAGUUUAAGUGCUCUACUUGUUCACAUGUCUACUAUUAUGAACUAUAGAUAGCAUGCUUAUAGGAAUAGGAUGUCAACAUGUGUGAUUACAAUAUGAUAGCAUGCCUAUAGAGUCAUAAGCUAAUAUUACCAUGCCUGCGGGGGCUUAAUUGAUUAACAGAUCGAUUGUUUCUGUCGUUCUUAUUAAGCUGCUCGCCUAGAUAGCAUGAUUAUAUGAAUAAGAACAAUAAAAUUGUAUUUAGAUACCAACUGCUAAAGAACCUGCCAAUAACACACUGUUAUUCACUUAGAAAGCAUGCCAAUAAGAUCAAACAUCAGUAAUUCUGAGUUCUCAAAUAGUUUUAUUACCCUAUUGCAGAAAUCAUUUAGAUCAUGUCUACAGGUUUUAUAAUACUUGUAAUAUGUAAAUUUGGUAAUCUGAAACGGUUGUAGGACGUUUUAAACUAGAUCACAUAGAAGCCAUGUCUAUAGGACUUAACGACUUUAAUAUGCCUUGAUUCUGAAACUGCCUACUACCUAAUAUGAAAUCUGCUCACGUGCUUUUGGUGCUUAUGUGUGGAGGCUAACUUGAGCCAUUUAUUAUUUUUGUGUGUAGUCCUACAUGUUUUGAAUGUGCAUCUAAUUUUAUCUUUUGAGCGCCCUAAGUAAAGUCUAGAGCCACCUAAAUAGUAGGUCCAAAGCUUCCUGGAUCAUAGGCAUAUGAUCGGUAGUGUACGUAUAGGAUACGAUUUAGAAUUGAACUAGAGCUCUUUAGGUAAACAACUUUGACAUAGUAAUUAGAUAGCAGUAGAUGAUAGUCUAUGCUCACUGAAUAAUAUGAGCAACACAUAUCCUAAGGGAGUUACAAAAUAUUAUUUAAGUUGCACGAGGUGAUCUUUUAGGCCAAAAAACUUAGGACUUCCUUUAUAUAUUUAUUUUCCGUGCCUUUGGUUCUUUGAACUUAGAACAAUUAGGCUAUAUCUUAUAACCUCUUAGGACUUCUACUGACCAUUUAUAUGUAGUUAAUUUCUUCACAUGUGCAAUUAUUCUUUACACUUGUAUUACAUCAGAGUUGAACCUUUAAAUUCCCUCUCUUCCUUCAUUACAUGAUAACGUAGGAUAGUUAUAAUCCAAUAAUUCUACAUAGCGUGAAUUUAGGCCGGGAAUUAUAGUCGUCGAUCU
rnacentral:lncRNA from 1 species